CGGGUCGGGAACGCUGGGCUCCCGCUCUCCAUCGCCUUCUCCGCCCAGCACCGUCCCUGGAGAAAGGGGAGACCACCACACACAGGUGCCUCAACAGCACUGUCUGAGGGAGUGCAAGCCCCGAGACCUGCUGGGAAGAGUGCAAAAAACUGUGUACAAAAGGACCACGCAUCAGUAACACUGAGAGACUUCGACCUGAGCAGCUCGAACGUGUAUCUACAUGUAAGGGACUGACAUACCUUCUCACUGGCCCACAUGGAGUUAGGUAUGAGCAGCCCACUGAGAAACCUCUGGUUCUGCCACUUAGUUUUCCAUGCAUCUUAAAAACUGCAGUUCAGAUAGGCUGUAGUUUUUUUCUCCAAAUUUGAUAUGCCACGAUGAUGAAUGAAGCCUAGGAAAACAUCUGUAUGGAAGAUCGUUUUUACUGAUGGAUUGUGAUGAACCCUUCUGUACAUCGUGCCCAUUCAAUGAAGGGGAGAAAGAUUAUGGAAUCCUCCUCAAAACCACAUCCAGUUCCAUAAUGGUUAAGGAGACUGGUAACAGUCAUCACUAUAACCCUAGCCCAAUCUGGGUGUCUUCUGUGAUGAACUAUAAGGACAAGGGGAAAGCAGUGGGCAUUUACCCAGACUUACCGCAAAAACAUACCUGUGGAAUGGAUGGACAACAUACAAUGGGGGUGGAAAAUGGGGUGGACUUCUGUGCUCAGACUUCAGUAGUCAACAAUUUGAAAUCUAGGAGGUGGCCAGCUCCAAGUGCAGUACCUCAGGAGCUGGUACUGGAGACUACUGGUUUAUGUCUUACCCACCUGUGUGGUGGGAUAGAGCACGCUCAUGUUUGCAGAUGACACGAAACAAUGCUAGUGGAGGACAGGAGCAGGACACCCCAAAACAUGGGAGGAAAGAACUUUCAUUCAACUGGAUCUUGACUGGCUGAAGUGAUGUGCUGAUGGAAAGUUUGUUAAGUCCAUUAGCCCUGCACAUAAGAAAUAAGAAACCAAGAGAUCCAGGGCUAACAGUGGCCACAAUGAAUAGGAGUCAGCAGUACUUGCAGCUAUAAAGGCCAGCACUGUACCAGCCUGCACAGUAAAAGCACAGGCAGCAAGUUCAAGGAAAUUAUUUUCCCCACGUAUUCAACACUUGUAAGAUGCACCUGGAAUACGAUUAUCCAGUCUGGGGCUCCUCAUGACAAAAUCAAACAUGACCAACUUGUAGGAAGUCCAGUUGAGGACCACCAAGUCUGUUAGAAGGCUGCAGCUCAUGACAUGGCUCAAGGCAGCUGAGCUGGGUUUGUUCAGCUUGGAAAUUAAGGCUGCAGGACCUGCAGCCUUCAACUACCUAAUGGAUGGUUGCAGAAAAUAUGGAGCCACACUCUUUAAGUGGCAACAGGCAAGCUACAGCAAGGGAGACUGUACAUUAGAUAAAAGUCUGCGCUGAAGAUACUACAAAACCAAACAGGAAGUCAGAGGUUGUUAAAUGCUCAUUUCUGGAAAUACUCAAAAUUUUAUUGGACACAGCCCUGAAAAACUUCACCCCCUUUCAACGUCAGCACUGGUCUAGUCAGGAGGUUGACCCAUAUGACCUCCAGAAGUACCCUCCAACCUAAAUUUACUCUAUGGUUCUAAAAACUGAAAAGAUCAAUGCAAGCUUCACAGUGUGGCUAAUGUAACAGACAACUGUCUGUUAUCUUGUGCUGUGUGACUGUAUUCCAAUCCCUCAAGAUAAUUUCCAUAAUAUCAUCAAUAUUACCUUAAGCCCUCAUUAUCAAAUAGUCCAGGCUGCACAAGCAUUCAGCUACAGAUGAUCUGUCAAACCAAUAAAUCCUAAAAGCAAUGGUACCGAAGGUCAGGAGUGACAUUUCUCUCUCUGCAAGUAAAGCUGCCAAAUUCCAGGCUCUGGGUUUUACAAAGAAAGCUUGAAACCACACAGUCUGUAUAAGACACACAGCUCAAGUCCUGGCCACUUUCAGCCCCUCACAACAGCUCAGGUGAUUUCUUUGACCUUAUGUGUCAGACACAUGGAAAAAACCAACAUAAACAGUGGCUGGUAGCCUUUGUAGGCAUUAAGACGUACCUUUCUAUAUACACACACGAGCUAAUGUUUUUUAUAUACUGAGAUUUUGUCCCCAAAGCAUGAGAGAUUUUUUUCUACAGCAGUAGUAGACCUGUAAGAACAUUACUACCUUAGCUCAAGUUCGGGUUGCUUCUUUACAUGUUUUUAUAAAAAUUCAAACCCCUAAGAUCUGGAGACAAUACCACAGCUGUAGCUUUAGGUUUUUCAACCACUAACUACAUAUCUACAGAUUUUUCCAAAAGUUAACAUUUAUUCAUAAGUUCAUACUAUCAGCAAUCCUUUGAUAGGAAUUAUGCUCUUAAAAAACAAGCUUAAAACAAUAAGAUGUGAAGCUAAUAAUGGUCUUCAGUUUAUGAACACCUUAUCCAAAAUCAGACGAGACACCUGUAACAAGAAAAAGUGUGGCAACCUCCUUUCAACAGUGAAAUAGAGGCUCUAUGAAAAGGCUAUACGAAAAACAGCUACUAAAAAUGUGACUUUUGCACAUGAUUUGCACAUUUCUUUCUGUUGUUUACUCCUUUCUGUGCUUGUUACAAGCAGAAUGAGGACUGUUGCAUCAUACAGCUGUUUGUUUCCAUCUUGUUGUAACCGGUGCUACUGUUAACAUUCUCCACCACACCUUCUACGCAGAGAAACAGGAACAUGCAAUGCAGAUUUACUCAAAGAUCUCUUUUCCAGUUGAUGGUGAUUACACAUAACAACGACUUUAUCGCGACAGAGAAUGCAGGAAUGGUUAAGAGGAUAUGCUCAGUGGCUAACAGGAUAUGCUAACCAUAUUUUCCCUGUUGUGUCACGGAUUCUAGGAGUCAGGAAAGAAUACAGAACACUGGGAUUCCUUAAGAAAUCUUGUACUAGUCUACUUCUGGAACGAUUAAACAUCUGUGACAGAUAGUCUAUCCACUCCAUAUAGGGAAACAUUUAUGUAGUACCAUCAGUUAAAGCUUGAAGGAAAGUAACAACUGUUUAAACCAGUUUACCAAAACUAAGUGUACAUUGAGAAGAAAAAAAUUUAACUGGAGGCAAAAAGAGGGUAUGUCUAGCUAUAGCAUAGACUCCUUCAUAAAUAAGUAAACAAAUAAUACUCUUAAGUUUGCUAGGGUGCCCGUUCAGCCACAUGCUUAACCAGAGCUUGCUUUUGCUUUUAACACCAUUUUAGUCUUUAAGGAGCGGGAAUUAAAAGUCUGUGCCCAAUUUGCACUUAAAGCCCCCAAGACCCCGUAACUUCUGCCCUCCAUCUUAUUUUUCUUUUGCACAUCUUCCUCUUCUCAGGUAGCAGGCACAAAGAAAAGAAAGCAAUAAAGCUCCAUCUACCUGAGCUGAGUAUUUUUUUUUUUUUGGAUGGAUAAUUCUGCCAGAUAAAUAAACUUCCAAAUAUUAGAGAACAAGAGAAGGGACACAGAAUAGUCAAGACAGCACACUUUUGUUUUUGUCAAUAUUUCUUUAAAUCCCAAUCCAGCUCCUAGUAAGACUGGACACUACUUACAACACUCCUAGAACUGCAGAAGAAUGGAAACACAAUAGGGAGCGAGUGGAGGGGGGAGACAGCUCAGUGGCUGACUUCAGACAUUCACAUACACAAAGCCAGCAUCCACUGGACUCAAGGCCCAGAUGCCCCACUAAUAGGAACAAACCCAAACACAAAGGUAGCACAUGAAAUGUAUUUACCUAUUUAAACACAGGCAGCUGGUCAAGCUAGAAUGGGGAAGGUAACUGCUAAUUCCUUGUACUACAAGGAAGGAAUGGAGUAAAAAAACCCAAGCCCACGGGCAGGUUUUUGCUUUGUGAACCUCUGUCUGUGCUGCUGGUUAACAGUGGUAAGUAUAAAAAAAUCAAAGAAAAAUAAUCUAUUUAUAGAACAAGUCAGUAGUCUGAGACAUUUAGAAAAAAGUAAAAACAAGUCCUUCUUUAAAAAUGGAUUUACUAAAACAACUGUCACCCAGGAUGACCCCAAGCCCCUCUGGUCCUCU